AUCUUUUUAAAUUCAUAUUGUCUGAUAAGGGUUUGAGGGUACGUGUUUUCCUGGUCCGGGACAUAAUUAAAGCAAUUGAUACUUUUCUUCAGGAUGAAGUAGUAGCAAACAUUUUCGAUGAGAAGGUUCAAGCUAGAGAGAGCUGAAUCUGAGGGACAUGCAAUGCUGAUGAGAGUGGUUAAUGGGCUUAAAUCUUUCCGGCAUGCAGUGAAGUUGGCCCCGGAGGUGUGGACUGCUAUGCUAAUCCGCAUGACAGUGAAACCCGAGGCUCACAAAUUUACAUUUGACAUCAUUUCAGCCUUAUUGAUACAUUUUAGCCGAAAAAUUCCAGAGACCUUUUGGAUUUGUAUAUCUAGAAUUCUUCACAAGUUGGUGAAAAAU